rnacentral:rRNA from 1 species
CGAAGCGGGAAGAGCUCAAAUUUAUAAUCUGGCACCUUCGGUGUCCGAGUUGUAAUCUCUAGAAAUGUUUUCCGCGUUGGACCGCACACAAGUCUGUUGGAAUACAGCGGCAUAGUGGUGAGACCCCCGUAUAUGGUGCGGACGCCCAGCGCUUUGUGAUACAUUUUCGAAGAGUCGAGUUGUUUGGGAAUGCAGCUCAAAUUGGGUGGUAAAUUCCAUCUAAAGCUAAAUAUUGGCGAGAGACCGAUAGCGAACAAGUACCGUGAGGGAAAGAUGAAAAGCACUUUGGAAAGAGAGUUAACAGUACGUGAAAUUGUUGGAAGGGAAACGCUUGAAGUCAGACUUGCUUGCCGAGCAAUCGGUUUGCAGGCCAGCAUCAGUUUUCCGGGAUGGAUAAUGGUAGAGAGAAGGUAGCAGUUUCGGCUGUGUUAUAGCUCUCUGCUGGAUACAUCUUGGGGGACUGAGGAACGCAGUGUGCCUUUGGCGGGGGUUUCGACCUCUUCACACUUAGGAUGCUGGUGGAAUGGCUUUAAACGACCCGUCUUGAAACACGGACCAAGGAGUCUAACAUGCUUGCGAGUAUUUGGGUGUCAAACCCGGAUGCGUAAUGAAAGUGAAUGGAGGUGGGAACCGCAAGGUGCACCAUCGACCGAUCUGGAUUUUUAAUGAUGGAUUUGAGUAAGAGCACGUAUGUUGGGACCCGAAAGAUGGUGAACUAUGCCUGAAUAGGGCGAAGCCAGAGGAAACUCUGGUGGAGGCUCGUAGCGGUUCUGACGUGCAAAUCGAUCGUCAAAUUUGGGUAUAGGGGCGAAAGACUAAUCGAACCAUCUAGUAGCUGGUUCCUGCCGAAGUUUCCCUCAGGAUAGCAGAAACUCACAUCAGUUCUAUGAGGUAAAGCGAAUGAUUAGAGGCCUUGGGGUUGAAACAACCUUAACCUAUUCUCAAACUUUAAAUAUGUAGGAAGUCCUUGCUACUUAAUUGA